rnacentral:rRNA from 1 species
UACGAAGGGGGCUAGCGUUGCUCGGAAUCACUGGGCGUAAAGCGCACGUAGGCGGAUCUUUAAGUCAGGGGUGAAACCCCAAGGCUCAACCUUGGAACUGCCUUUGAUACUGGGGAUCUCGAGUCCGGAAGAGGUUGGUGGAACUCCGAGUGUAGAGGUGAAAUUCGUAGAUAUUCGGAAGAACACCAGUGGCGAAGGCGGCCAACUGGUCCGGCACUGACGCUGAGGUGCGAAAGCGUGGGGAGCAAACAGG